GCCAAAGAUUUCAGCCAAAACUGGGAGUUUUACCUGAGUAAGGAUUCCAGAACCAAGCUCAGAUAUGCUUUUCAUCUAAGAACCAGAAUUACAGCUUAAUUCUUGAUUCUUAGUGAAAACUUGGCACGUUCUAAAUAACCUGGAAGCAUGUACGUGAGAAUUCACGUCUGCGAUUUUGCUUUCACAUUUCACUUUCCAAGCUACUUAUUGCUAAUUAGCAGGUGUCAGUGCAAGAACUAUGGUCAAUAAAUCCUUCAUCUUUCUGCA